rnacentral:rRNA from 1 species
UACGUAGGUGGCAAGCGUUGUCCGGAUUUACUGGGCGUAAAGCGCGUGUAGGCGGUUCGGUAAGUCUGCUGUGAAAGUCGGGGGCUCAACCCUCGAAUGCCGGUGGAUACUGUCGGACUAGAGUGCGGAAGAGGCGAGUGGAAUUCCUGGUGUAGCGGUGAAAUGCGCAGAUAUCAGGAGGAACACCAAUUGCGAAGGCAGCUCGCUGGGACGUUACUGACGCUGAGACGCGAAAGCGUGGGGAGCAAACAGG